rnacentral:lncRNA from 1 species
GGAAUAUAGAAAUAUUGUAGGAUACAAGAGACAUAGAACACACAUGGGAUGAUGAUCAUCUCAGUGGAACUUGAGGCUGGUCAAGACGUUGUUGUUGACGGGAUCCGCCAAGUGAUCAAGCAGGUUCUGGUAAGGCCCGACUCCGGUCACUAGUCCCUGGAUGAAGUAACCGAGGAUGGCGAGCAUAGCCAGUCUACCGUUCUUGACCUCCUUGAGUUUCAACUCUUUCAUUGACUUCUCAUCUUUCCCAAACCCAAGAGGGUUGAAGAAAGGUCCACCGGGGUAUGAUGGGUCACCUGAACCGGCCAAACCCUUCUCUAACCCCAAGAAGUACUGUUUCCCCAUAGAUCCUGGGUUGUACCAGUCCUGUAACCUCCUGUGCUCAGCAAAUCCCAUCAGAGCCAUCUCAAGAACAAAGAGUGUGUAAUUGUCUGCCCAGUAGCUGUAUGUCCCUGCAGGUGGAAUCACACCGGUUUGGAACCAGGGAAG